rnacentral:rRNA from 1 species
UACGUAGGCAGCGAGCGUUGUUCGGAGUUACUGGGCGUAAAGAGUGCGUAGGCGGUUUUCUAAGUUUGGUGUGAAAUCUCCCGCUUAACUGGGAGGGUGCGCCGAAAACUGGAAGGCUUGAGUAUGGGAGAGGUAAGCGGAAUUCCUGGUGUAGCGGUGAAAUGCGUAGAUAUCCGGAGGAACACCGGUGGCGAAGGCGGCUUCCUGGACCGACACUGACGCUGAGGCGCGAAAGCUAGGGGAGCAAACAGG